rnacentral:lncRNA from 1 species
UAUAUAGUUACUGUAAAAAAAUUGCGUAGUAUAAAACGUAGCGAAAAUAUAAAACCAAACUUAUUUGAUUUUAAAAACUCGAGAUCCGAUCUCAAAAUGCCACCCAAAUAGGAUCUCUUAUAUUGGUUAAGAUUAAAGGAGAAAAAGAAAAAUCUAAUUUUUUAUCUUUACGCGGAUAGAUUUUCACCGCAAUUUGAUUAUCGUGAAAUUGGUUCUCUUAAAACCGCACAAUCGUCCGACCUCUAUAGAUAUCCGUACGAUAUUGCCAAUCUGAUCGAUAUUCUCACCGAAAUACUAACUGCCGUACA